AUUGAAGCAUCGGUUCUCGUAUGAUUACCGAAGUUAAGCAACGUUGAGCUUAGACAGUACCUAGAUGGGAUACCGCUUGAAAAUACCAGGUA